GACGAACCGUGCGAACGUUGUUCGGAAUCACUGGGCUUAAAGGGCGCGUAGGCGGACAGUCAAGUCAGGGGUGAAAUCCCACGGCUCAACCGUGGAAGUGCCUUUGAUACUGACAGUCUCGAGGGAAGGUAGGGGCGGUGCGGAACUUCCGGUGGAGCGGUGAAAUGACGUGAGAUAUCGGAAGGAACGGCCGGUGCGAAAGCGGCGC
rnacentral:rRNA from 1 species